AAAGAUUUUAGUUAAACCAUAACAACAGCUUGUCAGACUGUAGUUGCAAUUAAACCAUUGUAGAUCUUA
rnacentral:tRNA from 1 species